GGACACUUUGGGGACGCUUUGGGGACAUUUGGGGACAUUUGGGGUCACCUCGGGGACAUGGGGGUGUUGAGGGGACACGGGGGUGUUGAGGGGUUGGGGAGGUGGAGGGAGGAUGGCUCGGUGUGGACGUGCUCAUGGAGGUCCACCAUGGUUCUCUGUGGUCAUUGGGACACUUGGGGACACUUGGGGACAUUUGGGGACAUUUGGGGACACAGGGUGGAAAAAUGUCACCUGGGCGUGGAACUACUCAUGGAGGUCCACCACGUUGUCAUGGGGCUUGUUGGCUUCUCCAUGGCCACGGGGACUCUUGGGGGCUUCUCUGUGGUCAUGGGGACACUUGGGGACAUUUGGGGAUAUUUGGGGACUUUUGGGGACAUUUCGGGACAUGGGGGUGUUGAGGGGACACGGGGGUGUUGAGGGGUUGUGGAGGCGGAGGGGUGGUGGCUUGGUGUGGACGUGCUCAUGGAGGUCCACCAUGGUUCUCCGUGGUCAUUGGGGACACUUGGGGACAUUUGGGGACACUUUGGGGACACUUUGGGGAUAUUUAGGGACUUUUGGGGACACUUCGGACACCUCGGGGACAUGGGGUUGUUGAGGGGACAUGGGGGUGUUGAGGGGAUGUGGAGGUGGAGGGGUGGUGGCUUGGUGUGGACGUGCUCAUGGAGGUCCACCAGACCUUUGUGGGCUUCUCUGUGGUCAUGGGGACUCUUGGGGACAUUUGGGGACAUUUGGGGACAUUUGGGGACAUUUGGGGACAUUAGAUCACGUGUCCCCCCCCAGCUGUGGCGCCAGGGGAAGGGUGACUUCUUCCUGGGCUGCCUGCUGAUGGCGGAGCUCAGCACCCCCUUCGUCUGCCUGGGCAAGGUCCUCAUCCUGGUGAGCCCCAAAAUGACGUCGGGGGGACCCCAAACCCUCACGUCCCCAACCCUGGGGUCGCCGGGAUGAUUUGGGGGGGUGGUGGGACCCCAACCCCACGUGUCCCUCAACCUUCACCCCCAACCCUUCAUACCCCCAACCCCUUGAGUCCCUGCGAUGAUUUGGGAUGAUGGUGGGCCCCCAACCCUACAUGUCCUUCAACCCUUGUGUCCCUCAACUCUUGGGUCCCCAGAAGACCAUGGUAGACCCCCAACCCCACAUGUCCCUCAACAUUUGGGUCCCCAGGAUGAUUUGGGAUGAUGGUGGGACCCCACCCCACACGCCCCCCAACUUUUGGACCCCAACCCUUUAUACCCCCAACCCUUGGGUCCCCGGGUUGACUUGGGGUCUUGGUAGACCCCCAACCCUACAUGUCCCUCAACCCUUGGGUCCCCAGGAUCAUUUGGGGUCUUGGUAGCCCCCCAACCCUACAUGUCCCUCACCCUUCACCCCCGCCCCUUCCCACCCCCAACCCCUUGUGU
rnacentral:lncRNA from 1 species